GGGGUGACCACGGAGUAUAAAAUAACCUCCAUGAAGAAGGGGAUAUUUCCCUUAUUAGAGAACCACACUUCCAAGAACUAAUAAAUUAAUUUUCAAUGACCCGAUACCCGAUAAUCGAUCAACGAACCAAGUUACCCUGGGGAUAACAGCGCAAUCCACCCUGAAAGCCCUUAUUAACAGGUGGGUUUACGACCUCGAUGUUGGAUCAGGGUAUCCCAGUGGUGCAGCAGCUACUGAGGGUUCGUUUGUUCAACGAUUAAAACCCU
rnacentral:rRNA from 1 species